AUUGAACGCUGGCGGCAGGCUUAACACAUGCAAGUCGAGCGGAGAUGAGGUGCUCGCACCUUAUCUUAGCGGCGGACGGGUGAGUAAUGCUUAGGAAUCUGCCUAUUAGUGGGGGACAACAUUCCGAAAGGAAUGCUAAUACCGCAUACGCCCCACGGGAGAAAGCAGGGGAUCUUCGGACCUUGCGCUAAUAGAUGAGCCUAAGCCGGAUUAGCUAGUUGGUGGGGUAAAGGCCUACCAAGGCGACGAUCCGUAGCGGGUCUGAGAGGAUGAUCCGCCACACUGGGACUGAGACACGGCCCAGACUCCUACGGGAGGCAGCAGUGGGGAAUAUUGGACAAUGGGCGGAAGCCUGAUCCAGCCAUGCCGCGUGUGUGAAGAAGGCCUUAUGGUUGUAAAGCACUUUAAGCGAGGAGGAGGCUACUUUAGUUAAUACCUAGAGAUAGUGGACGUUACUCGCAGAAUAAGCACCGGCUAACUCUGUGCCAGCCGCCGCCGUAAAAC
rnacentral:rRNA from 1 species